rnacentral:siRNA from 1 species
CAGGUUUAGUUAGGUACACUGU